GUAGGUGAACCUGCGGAAGGAUCAUUAAAGAAAUGCGGCGGAGGAGCCCCCCAAAGGGCCCCCGAGCCAACACGUUCUACCCUGUCUUUUUCGAUACCUCACCUCCUCCCCGGCACUCGUGCCGGGCUGGCUACUCAAAAAAACCCUGCAGUUUACAGUCAAAUUCAGUAACAACAAACAAAAAUCAAAACUUUCAACAAUGGAUCUCUUGGCUCUG
rnacentral:misc_RNA from 1 species